ensembl:lncRNA
GUAAGUGUUAGGGAGCACACCUGGCAUAUACACACUGCGUUUCUGAAUGUGUGCCGGAAAUGUUCGGAACAUGCUGUUAUUCCGGGACCAUCGAAAAUAAAGGGAAAUUUUGGAGCUCGCCUAACUCCCACAGCAUCAGUGACACAGACAUGAAUGAAUGUUUGGCUUAGUCCAGACGAUCAGGAAAUUCCUUUGGGAAUGGAUCCCAUGUGGAUGUUGCAGGGAAUUACACACUAAUGUAAAAUGAGUCUAGAGAUCAAACAGCCGAACCGAGACACGGGCUGCGUCCGGAACCGCACACUUACCUACUGCACAGUAGGCGAAAAGCAGUACACCAGAGGGGUAGUAUGUCCGAAUUCUCAGUAGGCGAGAAAUACCCGGAUGGUGUACUGCUUCCGGCUAGAUUUUGUAGUAUGCAACUGAUGACCUGCGUGAAGUUGACCCCCACCCAACGCAAAACGUCGGCAAAAUAGUCUGAAUCAUUUGUGCUCCGUUUGUGCCGAUGAAAGUUCCGUUUGAGCUGCUUCAGUUUUUUAAAUAUUAGAUAUUAAAUUAUAGGCGAUGACGUCACCAACCCCCACACGCUCCAAAUUCACCCCCAAAUAGUCUCAAUCGUUUGUGCUAAUAAGAGCUUCAUUUUUGCGACUGUCUUUCUUUUUUUUAACAAUACAGUUGAAGAAACAAAGUAACAUCCAAAUGGCAAAACAAAUCACAUUAAAUAGUCGUAUUCACUUAAUUGUUAACUAUCUACUGUUCGUUUUCAACUUUUAAGGGACACAGCGGAGCACAGGAUGUGUGAAAUGUAACACGAACUCCAAGACUUGAGUGUAAAGACCAUCAAGCCCGACUUCCAGUAUUGCAGAGACGACUUCUCCAAGCAGUAGUAGGAAAAUGAGGACAUUCCUGUCACUCCACUUCUCAGGUCUUCAUACAUCUCCCAGACACAUGGAGACCUCCUGCAGUAGGCCACAUAAUGCCCAAGAGCAUCCUGGGUAAAGCCUCCUCUGAAAGCAAUGACUGCCCUUAGAGUAAAUCUCUCUCCUUGGAGCAUCAGAUUGGAGGGAAUUUCACAGGUGCUUCCCAGGUCAGUGUCCAUAAACAGAAGUUCUACCAGACUGUAACUGUGAGAAACAUUCCUUGCACAGAGCACUUUUCCUGAGGUAGAGUCUGUCUUGAAUUCAGAGGGACAGUGUGACGGACUUUGGAUUGGCCUCAGGCAGGGGGACUCCGGAAGGUUAAGGCCUUCUUCCACUGCCGUCUGAAGGGUGGCCAAAUUAGGCAGAUGGAUUGGCUCAGGAUCUCCAAAAUCCAUCAGCUUUGUUGCCUCUGAUGCCCUCCAUACAUGGAGUUGCAUUCUGCUCUCACACAGUUCUUUGGCUGUCUGCACAUGCAAGUUACCAGACAUCGCAUGCUUGGAACAGCCAGUGUGCAGGGAGUCAUUAGUGUUUUUAAUUAAACACUUGAGCACCAUUGGGCUGUUCAUUUCACACUGUCAAAUUUUAUGUGAAUGUGGCCAAGGCAUUCCUUACAGUUGCCUCUGAUUUCUAUGAAUUUCUCUGUGGCUGAUUGAUAGACCUUGGCUCUUUUAAAGGCUAAUGUGCAGGGGCUUUUCACUUCUUGCCAAAUGUGAUUAUUUAUCACAUGUGUCCAGAUGCCAGGCUUCAAAGUUGUGUAUUCCCUUUUUUGUGUUUUAGAGAACUUGUUUUUGUAUUGAACUGUUUCAGGCCUAAAUUCAAUCCAUUUUUGAAAUGGAACUUCAACAUCAAAAAGUCCAGCAGUCUUUUGGUCUGGGGGAAAAGGGACCCUGGCUCAAAAUCAGUGUCAUCAUUACUGCCACUUGUUUCAUGAUCACUUUCAUAAAUAAACCCUAAAGCAGUCCAGAUGUUGUGUCUGUUCAAUUUAACAAACGUAUAUAGAGCCUUUGCAGUGAGCUUGUUUUUUUUGCUGCUCACUAAGCUCUGUCCAGAUGCUCUGAUUAGGAGUAGCUAUGUUGUCAUUUUGGACUAUGGCCUCUUUUGAUGAACAGAGGACUGUGAAAAUGGACUCCCUGAUGAAUGCUGGUUUCUUGGGCAUCUACCCACUGAAAUAAUGUAUUUUAAUCAUGUACAUUAUGUAUGUAUAUUAAUCAUGUAUUACUGUAUUUGCCUGAAUACAAGGAAAAUGUAAUAUAGUAUUAAUAUAUUAGGUUAUUAUAUCUUAUAUUAGGACCAAUAUGGUAAUGUUGACCCCUAGAUGCAUAACCUAUUCAAAAAAACUAAUAAGGGUACCAUGUACAGCUGUAAUUAGCAUUUCAU